GAUCCUGGCUCAGAAUCAACGCUGGCGGCGUGCCUAACACAUGCAAGUCGAACGCGGUUACCCCGCAAGGGGUAGCUGAGUGGCGAACGGGUGAGUAACACGUGGGUGACCUACCUUCGAGUGGGGGAUAACGUCCCGAAAGGGACGCUAAUACCGCAUAACAUCCUGUCCUUGAACGGAUGGAGAUCAAAGCCGGGGAUCGCAAGACCUGGCGUUUGAAGAGGGGCCCGCGUCUGAUUAGCUAGUUGGUGGGGUAACGGCUCACCAAGGCGACGAUCAGUAUCCGGCCUGAGAGGGCGGACGGACACACUGGGACUGAGACACGGCCCAGACUCCUACGGGAGGCAGCAGUGGGGAAUUGUUCGCAAUGGGCGAAAGCCUGACGACGCAACGCCGCGUGGAGGAUGAAGAUCUUCGGGUCGUAAACUCCUUUCGAUCGAGACGAAUUCCUGCCGGGUGAAUAUCCCGGCAGGUUGACGGUACCGAGAGAAGAAGCCCCGGCUAACUCCGUGCCAGCAGCCGCGGUAAUACGGGGGGGGCAAGCGUUGUUCGGAAUUACUGGGCGUAAAGGGCGCGUAGGCGGGCGGGCAAGUCUCUCGUGAAAUCCCACGGCUCAACCGUGGAACUGCGGGAGAUACUGCCUGUCUUGAGUCCGGGAGAGGAGGGUGGAAUUCCCAGUGUAGCGGUGAAAUGCGUAGAUAUUGGGAGGAACACCGGUGGCGAAGGCGGCUCUCUGGACCGGUACUGACGCUGAGGCGCGAAAGCUAGGGGA
rnacentral:rRNA from 1 species